UGAAUCUGUCGAACAGAGCAGCUUUUCAACGAAAGUAAAUUUGGAGAGUCAAGACCUUACGAUAUCUGUAAUUCUCUCAAGUGUUGAUGCCGUUCAAGCUGAACCAGUAGAAGAAUGCUGUAUAUGUAUGGAACGACAUUCAGAUGUUUCUCUUGCUUGUGCUCAUAGUUAUUGUAAAGAAUGUAUACACCAGUGGUUCGAUGAGCAUAAAACUUGCCCAAUUUGUCGUAAAAAAGUGGACGGUCAUGAGGAAUUCUGGGUAAUAGCUGACAAACCAACUGAAAGUGAAAUGGCCGAUUACGUCAUGGGUUUUACAGAUGAAGAUAAACAUUUAUAAAGAGAUUUUUAGUUCCAAUAAUAUUCACUUUCGAAAGUCAGCAUCGACUUUUGCUUUUAGAAGUUUUGGCAUAGUGAUGGGGCAUUUAAAUUAUAACAAUAGAUUAAUUUCUAAAGGUCUAGUUUUUUUUA